rnacentral:tRNA from 1 species
AAGGGUAUAGCUCAGUGGUAGAGCACAUGCUUAGCAGUGCACAAGGUCCUGGGUUCCAUCCUCAGUAUGUUUA